GGAAUAAGACUUAAGGAAGGGCAGUGAGGAUGUUGAGCCAGGGACUGACAUGAGAGAGAGAGAGGGUGUUGUCGCUAGCAAAAGAGGCCCUGUUGUGGCAUUAAGAAAUGGCAGACCUUGGCAAGAUGGCAGAAGAGGGACCGUCAGACCCAGAUGCUCCAGGAUAUUGUGGCUGAAGCAGGAACGAAGCAUCAUUUCAAUUCUUCAUGUGCGCAGAGCAGCAAGUUGCUUAACGGCGCUUAAGCCAUGCCUUGGCAGAGUUUGGUGCGUUUGACGGUGCAGUGGAAAGUUACGUCCAGCAGGUGGCACUGCAGAACUAUGUCACUCUCCUCCGGAGGCAGCAAGCAAGGGACGCAGCGCCCAGUCAAGAGGUGAGAUAGGGGAUGGGUGAGAGGGUGGGGUGGGGGGAUACAGAGACCCCGCCCCGCGUAAAACGGGGGGGGGGGGCGGACUGUCGCAGCCAACAUAGCUCACAUCCAGCUCUCAUUCAUUUAUUAAAGCAUUUUCUCCUUCAAGAGAUGGAAUGCAUAAUUUAGCGACGGCAACGUGUGCAGAAAUGAAGUAUUAGUAAUUUAACAUUUCAAUGUUAGAUGGGAUGCAGAAACAUGGAAUGCCGCAGGUACACCCCACCCCACCCCACUUAGUAUUUAGCCCUUCGUAGGUGCUCUCUGUAUGGAGAGGCACUCACCGCGACACCUGGGGUGAAGAGAUGCUUAUCAAGUUGUCGAAAGUCCGCAUUACAGUAUUUUCGCAAGAAGUGCCCCUUAGUUACAAGGACCAAGCAAGGAAGUCUUGACUUCGUCAGUAACCAGGAGUUUUUCAUGCGCUUCUACAACUUCGUGGCUACCAAAAACACUAAGAUGAUCAAUCAAUCAGUAGUCUUUCCCAAAGACUUUGGACUAUUUUCCCAUUUGCCUAUCUGCUCUCCCUCCUGUGAGACAUGAGUUCAGUGAUGAGUUCAGUGGUGUUAUUAUUAGCCCCCUUUGGCCCGUUGAGCUGUCGAGGAGACCAGCCCCACAGUCUGAUCUGCUGUCCCAGGUCUGUCGCCUGCACCACACGUCUGGUUUACCAAGAGGAGGCUGCCAUGCUAGCCCCCAACCACUACUGGAACAUGGUCCGAAGCUGAAGCCAAAGGACCAUUGGCCCAUCCACCUCCCUGAAGCCCGCCUGAUGAUGCUGGACUCCCCCCAGCCCUGGCCAACAUGGCCAACGGACAGGGAUGACGGGAGCUGGAGUCCUGCCGCAUCCGCAGAACCAAAGCUUCUCCAUCCCUGGUCCAGCAACCCCUAGGCAGGAGUCUCUUCGGACCCUGCCUGGAAAUGCCGGGGACUGAACCUGAGACCUUCUGCGUGCAAAGCCGAUGCUCUCCCCACGGAGCUACGACUCUUCGCACCUGUGCUGCGAUCCUUGUGGGUUGUAAGGAACCACAUAGAUCAGAAACUGGGCCCCCAAUAGCCACGAUUCCUACUGUGGAACAAGGCUAUGGGUGUCAACUUCUAGCAGGGCUCCUGCGCUUUGGGAGCACCCUGAAAGCAGAAACGAAGCCGGUGAAUGCCAGGCUUAGUUUGCUACAUUUCUUCACGCCAGGCUGCUGUUAAAAGGGCAGGAUCAGGGAGAAAGAAAGAAAGAAAGAAAGCCAAAUGAUCGAGGGCUGACAAAAGAGUGGAUUCCCCCUCCUCUUAUAAUGCAUUAUUAUCUAUAUGGCAAUGCUAAUGCAUUCAAAUGCACGCGCGCACACAAGUAGUGAAUAGAUGAUAGAUGAUAGAUAGAUAGAUAGAUGUAGGUAGGUAUUAGUGGUUUUAAAGACAUUUAACAGGGGAUGGGGGAGGGAGUUGCUAGCGGUUAAUUAAUCUGGAAUAAAAGAGUGUAACUAUCUUUCCACCACAUAUAAAAUACUUCAUCUUGGGGACUUGGGAUUCAUUAGUCCGAAUAACUACCAUCUGCUCGUUUUCUGUUCACAAUAGAAGAAUGCCUGGGCGUAUUGUGUGGGGUGGAGAUCCACUCCAUAAGGAUCUCUUGAUCGGAGGUACAAUGCAAUGGAUACAGUGGGGUGGCGCUGAGUGUGCCCUAAAGAGAAUAGCCCUUAGGCAAGGCUAGCAGCGCAGUGUACAAACAACUCCGCAGGCGUUUCCGGGGGGGUCAGGUCAGCCCUGCCGGUUCCUCUCUCUGCCCACCCCCACCUCCGAGCCAUUCCUAUAUACUGUAUAGGAAGGGAACGUAGAGAGGAAGCAUUUUGGACUUUCUUCCUGCGUUUAAUUCAAGGUUCAAAGAAACUUCAUGCAAACUGAGGCCAGUCGAGAUUAUAUAUAUCCCUCCCGCACCCGAAGCCUUUUCAGUGCUUCCCAACAGGCAGUCGCUCAACAGGUGCAGCUUUCUGGCCAACCCCUCCCAGCUUUACUUCUUGAACUUCUGCCUGCCGAUUAGCUCUUAAAGGCACAAGAGCCGUGAGAAACGCAGGAGAGGGGAGUAUCUGAUGACCAUUCACCACUCUCCUCUCCCCCCCACCCCCCGCCACAAAUAUGCUUCGAGAUAAUAAUAAUAAUCCCGGGGCGCGGGGGAAGGCAGCAGCGAUGAGCAAACCGAGGGGCUGAGAACGGGAAAACAACGUGUUUUUUGCUGCUUAACAGGGAACAGAUGGCGCGAAAGGGCUGCAUCUCCUCCUGCGGGGGCCGGGAUUAGGGGGGGGGCGAUGGAUGGAUGGAAGUGGGGGCCCAGCAGAGACAAGCACCAGGAAGGAUUAAACCCCUCAUCUCCCGAUGGAGAGAUAGCAGGAAGGGCGGGUUCUCUUUCAGGCCCCGCCCCCGCCCUCCUCUCGCCCCGCCCCUUUCAUUCAUGGAGGGAGCGGGCCAGGAGGAAGCCGGAGAAUCCCCUGGAGCUUCGGCUUUCUCUAUCUUCGUAUUACAGUACAAGCAGGUCCCAAAAAAGGCUGGAGAGUGCGCGCGCGAAGCGCUCAUCAGCCCCUCUUUCCAUCCAGGGGAGGGGCGCGAAGCCCUCGGGACGCGCGUCUCCGGGGCGCAUGCAGAGUACAUUUCGAUCCGCGGCACUAAACCGCCGCCCAUUCGGGAACACGGACUUCCCGAGCGCGGGGGCGUCGGUUCCAGGAAGGCGAGGAAAGGCGGGCCGCUCCCUCUUUCCUUUAAAACAGCAAGAGCAGCAGCGAGGAGUCCUGCCCUGAGCAGAACAGCACACGCCGAUCCUGGCUGGCCCGGCGCCUUCUUCCUCGUCAGGAAGACCCCCUUCGUCGCCUGCCGCGUGGUGCCAGGAUCGCCACGCACAGCAAACCCCACCCCGUCUCUCUGGGCAGAGGUGCCAACUUGAAUAAAAUGGCGGGGGGGGAGAGAAUCGAUCACAUGGCACGCACACUAUUUGAAUGGCAGGGCCCAUCAACUUGAGAGGGCCCAAAGGGACAUUGGCUCCUGUGCCUCUGGGUGUCUCGCUUUCUUGGCGCAGAGCAUCCGGUGGUCAGGUUUUCAAGGCCAUAAAGUCUUGAAAGCAAAGGCUGCAGCGUUGGAGGCCCAUGCAUAGUCCCAUUGCUAAGACUAUGGAACAUGGCCCUGAUGAUGAUGGGCGUGCAUUGUUUCUUUCAAAAAUCCGAGUUGUUCCACCCCGUCCUUUCUCCAAAAAAUGCAAGAAUGGCACACAGUGUUUUCCCCUCCCUUCUUCUCCCCUUUGAACCUCACACCAACCCUGCAAGGUAGGGCCAGGCUGAGAGACAGUGACUGGUCCAAGGUCACCCAGUGAGGAUUUUCACCCUCAUUGCCCCGCUUUUGUUCUGACGGUCUCUAACCACUAUUAGGCAUUACAGGAGGAGCUUCGGAGACAGAAUCGCUUGAGAUGUCAACAAGCCCCACACCUUUAGUGGAAAACAGCUUUUUUUAUAAUAAUGAAACACCAAAAUGAAGUUUUAAAAAGGAAAUCUAUUUUUGUUGUUAUUACACUGGCAAAAUGCCCUUCAUGAUGACAUGACAGGUGCCGUGUGUGGAAAGAGAGAUGGUAGUUUGAAUUCAGUAGGACUUGAGUUGGCAUGGCUAGAAUAAUUGUGCUGUAAGCUAAACCGCAGCCCCUCUUGGUCACAAUGCAGUGUGACAGGUAUGAGGGGACUGGGCUUUCAUAUUGCUUUAGAAACACUUGUAACUCAUUCUCAAACAAAUAUCUGCAUGAGAAGUUUGAAAUUUUGAGGAGCAAAAUAAUCUUCUCCUUGACCUCCUCCUAAACCUCAUUUCCAGUUCCAAAGAAAACAAUGAACAUUCAUUUUGAAGUAAAGGAAAACAUUUCAGUGUAUCACACUUACAGGAGACAAAAGUAAUAGUGCAGUAUGAAAAUUGUUCUUCAGACAAUCUGUCUGAAAUGAGGGGUAAGGAGCUCCAGGCCAUUAAAAUUUCAAAAUAGAUUAGGUUUGCAAAAAAUAAAACAGAAAGGAGACCAUAAGUAGCAGAAGAAAAAGGUGGCUGUGAACAGACAAAUGCUUCGGUUUCCAAUACUGUGACAAAAUGUUAAUUGCAUUUUCCAAAAUGUCCUAUGAGCAAGAAAAUCACAGGGGAUGUUGCCUAGAGACAGAAUAUUUAAAAAAACGAUCGUUCUGGAAAUCUGGGUGCCCUAACAUUGCUCUCUUGAAUGACUCCAACCAAGGAUCACCUUUCUCCUCCCUGCACCUCUGUUUUCCUAUCUGCAUAAUUGAGAUAAUGGGUACAAUCCCAAAUCAUUAAAAGUAAUGAUGCCAUGGCCUUCAAAUCCAAGGAAGUGAGGGCUAAACCAUUU